ensembl:lincRNA Gm11419 predicted gene 11419
GGAACACUCAGGAGAUGGCGCCCCACUGGAGGAAGUGUUGAAGUUACCAAGUAAAUACCUGUUGCUUACACUGCUGCCUCCACUUUCAGGGCGAGCCCCCUACAACCUUGGUUAGGGAUAAAGCUCUGCAGAGCUAUCUAUCUUAGCCUCUGCACUUACCUAGCCCAUCUGGUUCCUCAAGAUCUCCCCAAGCAAGGAUUCAAUGAAACUGAUGAAGCUCCUGGGUUGCCAUGGAGAUGCAAGGACACAUCUAACUGGAAACCAGGAGCCAAGCUGGAGACUUUGCUCUACAAUCAUUUCCUUCCCCGGCUCAUUUUCUAAUCCAAACAUUUGAGGAUGAGGUAUCUGGGUCCUUAUUUAAGCCAUCAACUGGAAAGCAGUCAUCGUCCCCGACACCUCAGCAAAGCACAGAGAUUUCCGCAGCCAUAAUAAAGGUCAGGAGAGGAAGAGACAGAGUUAUCUAAAUCCACAGCUGUAUCCAGGUUCAUGAAGAAUGGCAGAUUGAGUCUUGAGAAGCCAGUGGAGAACAAGAUGAAGGCAACACGUGUGCUGUUAUUUCUUCUUUCCUCCAUCCCUCUUCCUUUCCUGUUACAACAACAACAGUAAUCACAGCAAGUAAAAACAGCAAGCCUGUGACCCCUCUGAACCGAUGGUAUCCAUCCCUCAACAGACGCUCCUCCCAC